GAGGGCCGGACUAUAGUUUAAAAAAAAAACUAUGCUAUUGGUUUCAAACAAGAGCCAAGAGUGAUGUCUUCCUUGUGGUCUGUUGGCUAUUUGAUAUCCCUGUGUGAAUGGCCAAUUCGGUUGGAAGAAACCUUA